UGUGUCCUCAAAGUUUAUUGCUCAAUAUAUUGAGCAACUCAAUAUAAAGUCAAUUUUAACAAUCGUCAACUAAAAUGAUACAUUAUUUUGAGUAUUGUUUUAAAAAAAGUUAACAUAAUCUUGGAAAUCAAUUUUUAUAUACAUAAUAUAUUCGUAUACUGGGAAGUUAAUUACAAAAGCUAGAUUUAUCUUUCUUUUAACAUUCUAAUUUUUAUUCAUUAGCAUAUUUAUGAACAAUCUAAAAACAAUAAAUCUUAUACACACACGUUAGGGUUAGGGCUCGGGUUAGGGUUAGUGUACAUUUCUUUCUGCUACAUGUUUAAUAUCAAACAGUAUAACGGUAAAAGUUUAAAUGUUAGUUACUGAUCUGCAAGUCAUGAGUUGAAACCAACUGGUGCGUUUACAAUGUUACCUAAAAAUUUUAAGACUUUACAAAAUGCAAAUUAUUAUCAAAUACUAGUAUUGAGCAAAUUUAAAAUUCUUAAACAAUGAUAACAAACUUUCACCGUCAUUAAUAAAUCAAAGUGUUAUCAUGAUCAAAUACUGAACGAUGCUGUCUAAAUAUUGGAAACGUAUUACAUUUGGCUGUGUGUUCUAUUUAGCGUUUUUGGCGGAAUGCGGCUUCUGUUUGAUCAAGUACAUCGCUAAAUGCCAUGCAUAUAUGUAUAAGAAAAGUUACAUUCAAGAAUAGGCUAAUUCAAAUCCACGUCAACUUGUUCAAAAACUAUUUUCCGCCAUAUACUGUACACGCCAAAUAUAAUACGUUUACAGUACAUUAAAAUGAAUCAAUCGACCUCUUAUACAUACAUGUAGGACAACGCUCAAUUUACUUUCACAAAACUGAAUCGAAUUCAAAUAUGACAAAACCGUAAAAUAGACACCAGUUAUUUUAUAGUAGAUGUUUAUCAAAAUUACAAACAUUUUAACUGCGUGCAGAAUUUCUAUCAGAAACAAUUUAAAACUGCUUAGGACAUACCUGAUACUGAUAUCUGAUACUUUUAAAAUUUCAAUCGUGAAUGUUGUUCAAUUAGGAACUUUUCUCUGUUACUUGCAAAAUAUCUUAUAGUUACUUUUAGGUAGGAUAAUAUAUUAAGUAAAUAACUUUCGUGUACAUUUUGUUUGUUCUUUCUAGGCGUGAAUAGGCUUUAAAUACGACCCAUUGCUGCUUGACGUACUAUUGCUAUUUCUCUCAGUCCCUGUACUGCUUUCAUUGGAAGAAUCUUCCGAUCUGCAAGAGAGUGUUAAAUCUUUUGGAAUCACAGGAUGAUCACAAUGGACCUUCACAAGUGAUUUUGUUUUUUGCUUCAACGAGUCUGGCUUUGGUUCCAAUGUAUUGUUAAAGUUUGUUCUCGAUGAUGAUAUCUCUCUCGUUGACACUGAUAGAAAAGAAGAGUCAGAUUCCAACGCUGAUGAAAUGGAAAUGGAAAUCUCUAUUAUAAUCACGAUACAGUGCUCAUAAAUAUUUGCAAAGUUUGUUGCUAUACAUAACAACCUAAAAACAUGUUUGCUCUUCGUUAGAAAAUUGCUUUUGAUAUAUAUCAUAAUAACUUUUUUUUCUUUAUAUUAUGUGCAAAUUUUAACGUGACAUUUAAACACUUCAAAACGUCUAGUAUACAACACUGAACUGAAAACGAAGAUUAACAGAAGAUUAGAGAUUAAUAAAACUGAUCAAGAGGAAUAAUUUUGUAAUUGUAAUGGAUAUAGUCAUUUGUCAUUAAAAUUACACUGUAAUAUAGGAAUGAAUAAUUUUAAAAGUACUGACAAAGUAACAAAAUAAAAAUUUGCUUUCAUUUUUAGCGUGUUAGCUUUAAAUGUUUAUUGAUAGUGUUGUAAAUGCAAACGAUUUUGGAUUGUUUACCUAAAUAAAAACUUUAAAUAUAGCAUUUUCUGAUAUUUUAACCUAAAUAA